AGAGAGAGAGAGAAAUUGGAAAUUGUAAUCAUCUUUCUUCCUUUGCUCUUGGUUUCUUGUUUUGUAGGGGGGCCUGGUGGUGGUGGUUGUAGUUGUGGUUGUUUCUUUCUUUCUUUCUCUGGAGACAUUCCUUGCUGUCAAUGGCUUAAUUAUCCACUUGAUUGGACUGUAUUCUAAUUCUCCUGUCUCUCUGUCGCUUCUUUUCGCUUUGGGUUUUCAUUCUUUUGUUGUUGUGGGUUUGCUUCAGUGACUGAGAACUGAGAAAAGAGUGAUUUGGUUCUUCUCUUCCGAGUUGAAAGCAUUUCGGCUUUGUUGUUUUGAGUGUGAAGUUCAUCACUGAAAAAAAUGACAGUCGAGGAAAGGCUUGUGAGUGCUGGGAACGAUGAACCCAAAGAUCGGUUCCCUGUGGGUAUGCGUGUUCUUGCGGUAGACGACGAUCCCACAUGCCUGAAGUUACUGGAUAAUCUGCUGCGUCGAUGCCAGUAUCAUGUUACUACGACCAACCAAGCAGUCACGGCGCUCCAGAUGCUGAGAGAGAAUAAAAACAAGUUCGACCUGGUUAUCAGUGAUGUUCAUAUGCCUGACAUGGAUGGUUUCAAGCUUCUCGAGCUUGUUGGUCUUGAGAUGGACUUACCUGUCAUAAUGUUAUCGGCAAAUAGUGACACCAAAGUCGUGAUGAAGGGGAUUACCCAUGGUGCAGUUGACUAUUUGCUAAAACCUGUUCGAAUUGAGGAGCUCAAGAAUAUAUGGCAACAUGUACUGAGGAGAAGGAAGUUUGAUUCUAAGGACCAAAAUAAUUCCAACAAUCCAGAGAAGACUCAGGGAUCCGGUGAAGGUGGACAAUUGAGUCCUGCAGGAGGAAAUGCAGACAAGAAUGCUAAACAAAACAGGAAAAGGAAGGACCAGAAUGAAGAUGAGGACGAGGACUAUGAGGAGAAUGGACAUGAGAAUGAGGACGCAGACCCGGCAACUCAGAAGAAGCCUCGAGUUGUAUGGUCUGUUGAACUGCACCGCAAGUUUGUAGCUGCAGUUAAUCAUUUGGGAAUCGACAAGGCUGUACCUAAGAGGAUUCUAGAUCUGAUGAAUGUAGACGGGCUUACUCGAGAGAAUGUGGCGAGCCACCUUCAGAAAUACAGACUUUACCUAAAAAGGAUCAGUUGUGUGGCAAGUCAGCAAGCUAAUAUGGUUGCUGCUUUAGGUGGUAACGAUUCCUCCUAUCUGCGAAUGGGUUCACUGGAUGGAUUUGGCGAUUUUCAUACCUUAAAUGGAUCAGGUCAGCUCACAAAUGCUGCUCUUACAUCUCUCCCACCUGCUGGAAUGUUUGGUCGGUUAAACACCCCUGCUGGUUUGGGCAUUCGGGGUCGUGCUCCAUCUGGAAUGAUUCAACUUGGUCGAGCCCAAAACUCUAGCAACCCCAUCAAUGAUCUGGGGAAGCUCCGGCCUGCUGUCUUAUCUGGAAAUCGAAAUGGAAAUUUAUUGCAAGGGAUGCCAACAUCAUUGGAACUUGAUCAACUACAACAGAACAAGUGCAUUUCCCGAAUUGGAGAAUUCUCUGGUCGCAAUGAACAAACUGUUUUUCAAGUAGCCAGCGGGGGCUUCUCAGAAACGGCAGUGACUAUUGGUAGUUCAAGCAACUCUUUUCUCACUGUCCCAAAUAAUCCAUUGAUGCUACAAGGACACCCACAACAGACACAAAAUAGAGGAUUGGGAAAUCAAUCUUCUGUUAGUGUGGCUCCACGGAAUCCAGAACCUUUUGGCAUUAGCGGUGGUGUAUCUUCUCAUGUGCCUGAUCAGAAUAGAUGUAAUGAGAACUGGCAAAGUGCUGUGCCAUUAAAUGGAUUUUCAUCAAACUCUUUGCCGUUGAAUGCUCCUUUUAAUCAUGCUGAUUUGGCUCCUAGUAACUUGAUGGACACUAUUUCUCCAAUGGGCUCACACAUUGGGAACAACCCACUUGAUAUUUCUUCCACAAGCGUAGUACCGGCACCUCUUCAGGAUUCAAGAAGAGAUAUACAAUGCCAAGCAAGCAUCUUGCUUGGUAACAAUGUUCAGCAUGAUAGUCCAAAAUUUUCGAACUUUGGAGGCUUGGGCAAUAAUUUAGACCAGAGUUUGAAUGUUCCAAAGCAAAGAUGGGAAGACCAUAAACAGGAUUACACCCACAACUCAAAUCUUCUCUUUAGUUCUAUCAACUCUUCUCUCCCUACCCAUGGUGUUGUAAAUCAAUUAACCCAGAGUUUGGGCCACAACAAUGCAGUCUGCAACCGAAAUGUGGAUACUACUCUGCUUGCCCAAUCAAAUGCUGGUGCAUAUUUGAUGCAGCAUAACAUGAUGGAGAAGUCAGCUAAUGACACAUCAUUAGGGCUGAAGGAUGAGUACUCAAUGGAGCAAACUAAGCCACACAGUGGAUUCAUGUCUGAUAGUUGUGGCUCUUUAGAAGAACUAAUGGCUGCAAUGAUUAAACAGAUAACAGCUAUAUAUUAAUUAGUUUGCUUCUGAAUUAUUUAUGGACAGUGAAUAUGAUUUGAAGGUUGUCUCCGAUGCAGGAACUGUCAAAUGGCUGCCUCCUCCUUACAGAACAACAGGAAGCGAAGUUAAUGGAUGGAGGAGACAUUGGAUGUGAAUUUUACCCUGUUAGAACAUGUAUCUGAAACUUGGAGAAUUACUCCUUUUAGCAAGAAGGGGUCGCAACAAUAUAGAUGCAUUCCUUGGGGAGUUUGUAUCAUCAUGUUGUGUUCUUUAUUAUGUAUUUCUGUAUGUUGAUAAAUUCUAUUUCUUAGUUCCCAAUGGAUUUUACUUUCCUGUUCUUCUUUUCUGUCCAUGUCCCUUGUUCUCUUUUCUGACAUGGAACAUUGGCAUGUGAAUCCCUUCAACUGUCAAGGUUCGAUGAUUUCCAUCCAUUAUAAACCAUGUACAAAGUUAAUAUUUAUAAAGUGGUGAAUGCUUCAAACU